AUACUUACGCUGGCGCGGGGGAUACUACCGUGAUCAAGAAGGCGGGGCUUGCCUGCCAGGACGAGGCCUGCUACAUUGCACUCGCGUAUGGGCUGACUCCUGCGACUACCCCCAAAUCGGGGUGGCUCGAGCGCAUAAUUUUUUGGUAGUGGGGACAAGUCGCUUCGCGCUGUCCCUU
rnacentral:snRNA from 1 species